AUACGGAGGAUGCGAGCGUUAUCCGGAUUUAUUGGGUUUAAAGGGUGCGUAGGCUGUGCGUUAAGUCAGGGGUGAAAUGCCGUCGCUCAACGACGGAGCUGCCCUUGAUACUGGCGUGCUGGAGUACGGAUGCCGUUGGAGGAAUGAGUGGUGUAGCGGUGAAAUGCUUAGAUAUCACUCAGAACACCGAUUACGAAGGCAACUAACGAAUCCUUGACUAUCGCUAAGGACCGAAAGAGAGGGGUUAGAACAGGAUUAAAUACCCUGGAAUUCCACGCCGUAAACGAUGAUGACUAACCGUCGGCGAUAGACAGCCGGUGGCCAAGCGAAAGCGAUAAGUCAUCCACCUGGGGAGUACGUCAGCAACGAUGAAACUCAAAUGAAUUGACGGGG
rnacentral:rRNA from 1 species